GCAGGGAAUUUUGCACAAUGGACGAAAGUCUGAUGCAGCGACGCCGCGUGGGGGAUGAAUGCCUUCGGGUUGUAAACCCCUUUCAGGAGGGACGAAGCGAAAGUGACGGUACCUCCAGAAGAAGCCCCGGCCAACUACGUGCCAGCAGCCGCGGUAAUACGUAGGGGGCGAACGUUGUCCGGAUUUAUUGGGCGUAAAGAGCUCGUAGGCGGCUCAGCAAGUCGGCCGUGAAAACCCGGGGCUCAACCCCGGGACGCCGGUCGAAACUGCUGUGGCUAGGGUCCGGUAGAGGAGAGUGGAAUUCCCGGUGUAGCGGUGAAAUGCGCAGAUAUCGGGAGGAACACCAGUUGCGAAGGCGGCUCUCUGGGCCGGUACCGACGCUGAGGAGCGAAAGCUAGGGGAGCAAACAGGAUUAGAUACCCCGGUAGUCC
rnacentral:rRNA from 1 species